rnacentral:lncRNA from 1 species
UGGACUCUAGGUUACUGUUAGUGUUAUAUAUCUAUAUGCAUGCAAACACCAUGCAUGUCGAAUGAACAGAAUAUGUGUAUGAGGAGAAAAGAUGGAAGCAAAUCAAGGUAUGUGUAAUUAAUAGUUAUUGAGGUUCAGAGUGGAUAAAUUUCUGCGUCUAUAAUUUGAUUAAUAUCGAUGACUACCUGAGAAGGGGAAUACAACGGAAUAUCUCUUAGGUGUGAUAAGGAGGUGGUGGAGACUUGUAUUCGUAUCCCUCGUCCUUUUUGGGAGGUGGUGGAGACUUGUAUUCGUAUCCCUUGUCCUUUUUGGGAGGUGGUGGAGACUCGUACUUGUAAGGCGGGGAUUUUUCAUGCUUUGGUGGUGGGCAUUUGUCUUCUUUUGGAGGAGGUGGUGGAGACUUGUACUCGUAUUUUGGUGGUUUUGGCUUGUGGGGUUUAGGUGGUGGAGGGCACUUAGGAGGAGGGGAUGGUGAAGGACACUUGGGAGGAGGUGGUGGUGAGGGACACUUUGGAGGAGGAGGUGGUGAGGGACACUUGGGAGGAGGCGGUGGUGACGGACAUUUGGACGGAGGCGGUGGUGACGGGCACUUGGGAGGAGGAGGUGGUGACGGGCACUUGGGAGGAGGAGGUGGUGAUGGGCACUUGGGAGGUGGUGGUGGUGAUGGACACUUGGGGGGUGGCGGUGGGGAAGGACACUUUGGAGGUGGUGGAGGAUAUUCUUUUGGUGGCGGUGGAGACUCGUACUUGUAUGGCGGAGGAUAUUUCUUAGGUGGUGGUGGAGACUCGUACUUGUAUGGUGGAGGAUAUUUUUUAGGUGGUGGAGGAGACUCAUAUUUGUAUGGUGGUGGAUACUUCUUAGGGGGUGGAGGAGACUCAUACUUGUAAGGCGGCGGAUAUUUUUUCGGUGGUGGUGGAGACUCGUAUUUGUAAGGUGGAGGAUAUUUCUUAGGUGGUGGUGGAGACUCGUACUUGUAAGGCGGUGGAUAUUUCUUAGGUGGUGGCGGAGACUCAUACUUGUAAGGUGGUGGAUAUUUCUUAGGUGGCGGUGGGGAUUCAUACUUAUACGGAGGAGAUUUUUCAGGAGGGGGUGGAGAUUCAUACUUAUAAGGAGGAGAUUUUUCAGGAGGGGGUGGAGAUUCGUACUUGUAAGAUUGUUCAGAAUCAGCAGUGAUGAACACUGGAAAGUUAAGUGACACAAGUAGCACCA